rnacentral:rRNA from 1 species
UGUGGUUUAAUUCGAUGAUACGCGAGGAACCUUACCUGGGCUCAAAUGUAUGUUGACGUAUUCUGAAAGGGAUACUUCUUCGGACAAUAUACAAGGUGCUGCAUGGUUGUCGUCAGCUCGUGCCGUGAGGUGUCGGGUUAAGUCCCAUAACGAGCGCAACCCCUAUCAUUAGUUGCCAUCAGGUCAAGCUGGGGACUCUAAUGAAACUGCCUACGCAAGUAGUGAGGAAGUGGGGAUGACGUCAAAUCAGCACGGCCCUUACGUCCAGGGCUACACACGUGCUACAAUGGCCGGUACAAAGGGCAGCUACCUGGUGACAGGAUGCUAAUCUCAAAAGCCGGUCUCAGUUCGGAUCGGAGUCUGCAACCCGACUCCGCGAAGCUGGAAUCGCUAGUAAUCGCGCAUCAGCCAUGGCGCGGUGAAUACGUUCCCGGGCCUU